rnacentral:lncRNA from 1 species
GCUGACCAUCUUGACCAGAAUAGAAGAGGGAGGCAAAAUGUGUGUAUCCCUGAGCUGGAAGUUCAACCAGGCAGAUUUCAUGGGCUUCUUUCACACAAGAAGGCAAUACCAGAAGAAAUGGAUGUGACUGCUUUACAUUAAUUUCUACUGAUCCCAUCCAAACAGAUAAUAUCAGAAGAAAUGGAUGUGACUGCUUUACAUUAAUUUCUACUGAUCCCAUCCAAACAGAUGAACAACUUGAUGUCUUCCUUUAAAAAAAAAAUGACAUGUGGCCUUCAUAGCUUUUUUCCUUCCCCUUGAUGUAAAUCUCAAGUGUUUAAAAGGAGGAAUGAGUCUAAAUCAUAGAAAAUCUCUAUUUAGAUUGGGAUAAGCUAAUUAGCUAUUAUUUAUUGAUCCCUUGCUGUAAGUCAGAAACUAUAUUCGAUGCUUUCAAUGUAUUAAAUCUGAUCCUUCUCUCAACCCUGCAAAGUGGAUACUGUCCUAAUUUUUCAGUUAAGGAAACUGAGACUCAAAGAGGUUAAGUAGCUUGCCAAAGUCUCACAGCUGGAAAGUAGAUGAGCUAGAAUUUGUCCUCAGAUCAGCCUUGCUUUUUCCACUCUACCCCACUACUUCCCAAUACCCAGAGACAACUGAGUUAUGAUGGGGUAUGGAAAGCUCCCGAAGGCCAGCCCCUCUGGGAGACUCCCUAAUGAGUCCACCACUAUCCAUUGGAAAAUACCCCAGUUUCUGAGAAGCAAAAACUCUACCAUGUUUAGAUUUAAAAAAAAAAAAUAAUAAUAAGCUUUGACCAGUUAAGGAAGUCAUUUUGAAGUUUAUUUUGUCCUAGUUGGUCCUGGCUUGAUCUCAGUGAUAGUAGAUUCCCCUGCAUCAACUCUAGCCAGAGCACACUGUUUCUAGGACUUUUCCCCACGCUGAGCCCUGUUGAGGACUGUGGUCACUCUAGCAAGUCACAGCAGUUUAGGGUUGACAUAGCAGAGUUCAAAUGUCUGACUUUUCUCACUGUUGUGUACUUGUUGGCCAGGAUGCCUCAUUUGACUUUGUCUCACCCAUAGUCAUUUUCAGAUCCAAUGGCCCAGUGGCAUUCUGGCAGCUCUUUUCUAUUCUUCAUUCUUGGUUGGAACCUGAAGGUAGUAUGCUCCUCUGGCUUUGGUCUAAUAUUUGAGGCCACUCUGCCUUCCUAGUAUUUGUAUAAUAUGGCCCCUUAAGCCCCUACCGAGAUGGCUAGGAAGUGGGAGUGAAAGUUAAGGCUCUUGGGAUGGUGGGAGGAAAGACAAUUGAUUUAUUUUUGAGCACGUAUCCAAAAUAAAUAAAUAAUAUAUUUAUAAACAUAAAUGUAUAUGUCUAUGUGUGUAUGUAUGCAUUUAUGUAUGUAUUAUAUAUAAAAUGAUUUAUAUA